rnacentral:rRNA from 1 species
GAGGCACUACGGUGCUGAAGCAACAAAUGCCCUGCUUCCAGGAAAAGCCUCUAAGCAUCAGGUAACAUCAAAUCGUACCCCAAACCGACACAGGUGGUCAGGUAGAGAAUACCAAGGCGCUUGAGAGAACUCGGGUGAAGGAACUAGGCAAAAUGGUGCCGUAACUUCGGGAGAAGGCACGCUGAUAUGUAGGUGAAGUCCCUCGCGGAUGGAGCUGAAAUCAGUCGAAGAUACCAGCUGGCUGCAACUGUUUAUUAAAAACACAGCACUGUGCAAACACGAAAGUGGACGUAUACGGUGUGACGCCUGCCCGGUGCCGGAAGGUUAAUUGAUGGGGUCAGCGCAAGCGAAGCUCUUGAUCGAAGCCCCGGUAAACGGCGGCCGUAACUAUAACGGUCCUAAGGUAGCGAAAUUCCUUGUCGGGUAAGUUCCGACCUGCACGAAUGGCGUAAUGAUGGCCAGGCUGUCUCCACCCGAGACUCAGUGAAAUUGAACUCGCUGUGAAGAUGCAGUGUACCCGCGGCAAGACGGAAAGACCCCGUGAACCUUUACUAUAGCUUGACACUGAACAUUGAGCCUUGAUGUGUAGGAUAGGUGGGAGGCUUAGAAGUGUGGACGCCAGUCUGCAUGGAGCCGACCUUGAAAUACCACCCUUUAAUGUUUGAUGUUCUAACGUUGACCCGUAAUCCGGGUUGCGGACAGUGUCUGGUGGGUAGUUUGACUGGGGCGGUCUCCUCCUAAAGAGUAACGGAGGAGCACGAAGGUUGGCUAAUCCUGGUCGGACAUCAGGAGGUUAGUGCAAUGGCAUAAGCCAGCUUGACUGCGAGCGUGACGGCGCGAGCAGGUGCGAAAGCAGGUCAUAGUGAUCCGGUGGUUCUGAAUGGAAGGGCCAUCGCUCAACGGAUAAAAGGUACUCCGGGGAUAACAGGCUGAUACCGCCCAAGAGUUCAUAUCGACGGCGGUGUUUGGCACCUCGAUGUCGGCUCAUCACAUCCUGGGGCUGAAGUAGGUCCCAAGGGUAUGGCUGUUCGCCAUUUAAAGUGGUACGCGAGCUGGGUUUAGAACGUCGUGAGACAGUUCGGUCCCUAUCUGCCGUGGGCGCUGGAGAACUGAGGGGGGCUGCUCCUAGUACGAGAGGACCGGAGUGGACGCAUCACUGGUGUUCGGGUUGUCAUGCCAAUGGCACUGCCCGGUAGCUAAAUGCGGAAGAGAUAAGUGCUGAAAGCAUCUAAGCACGAAACUUGCCCCGAGAUGAGUUCUCCCUGACCCUUUA